AUAUUAUAUAGAUGGAUGUAUGGAAAUCUAAUUUCUUCUCUGUAAAGCACUUUGGCUUCAACGUUCGUUAUUUGAUUUAAAAGUGCUAUAUAAAUAAAAAUUACUUACUUACUUACUAAAUCUUAUUUAAAUGUAGUCCAUCUGGCCACGUUGUUACUUCAGGAGAAAAAUAAAAUAAUUUUAGCAUUAAGAAAGUUUGAAGGAAUAGCUGUGAAUAUCACAAGAAAUCACAGUAGAAUAGCCAGUGAGCAUAUUAUUAAGAUAACAUGAAUCCGGUCAUGAAGCAAAAAAAAAAGAAUGAUGAAUAUUUAAUGCCUGGUAAUUCACAGAAGAGCUGGGAUGUGCAAAUUAGAAGUAUGCAACAUUUUAACCCAUGCAAUAUUUUAUAUCCAAUUUCAGUUAAAACCAAAACAUGACCCAGAACACUGCUUUAUAUGAUUUGCUGCUGCAGGGUGCUUUGACACCCUGAGCAAAGCAGUAAUUCCUUUGCUUAUACAAGUAUAAAUGGUCGACUGUCCAAUACUUCCAGAGUCACUUUCAGAGGCCCACAGGAUUUGAGAAGUAAAUGUUGAAAGCAGCUGCCACCUUCACUGGUUAUCAGCAAGCAACUUAUAGCAGAAUCUGUUUCUAAAUGAGCUCUCAAUGCCUGAUAGAGGUCAAGAACUGUUUGCUUUGAGGUGAAAUCCCUAAAAAUGUUGGUUGAGCUUCAAGUUAAGAGCAUGUGAACAAAAUUGAUAUAUCUGCACAGGAAAAAAUAUUGUUUUCUCCUUUGUUAACUUCCCAUAGUUUCCAGUGUUUCUAACUGAAAAAAAAGUUUUCUUAUCAUAUCAUGUCCAAUUAAGUCCUGAUACCAUAUAUUCUGAUUGGCAUCUAUAAAUCUUUUGAGGUAGAAUUAAAAGUUAUAGACACAGCUAAUAAUUUUAUUUGUUGCAAUGUCAAUCUCAAGGUUAUUUCCUUUUCACUAUUUUAACAAGAAUAAUGCUCUGUUAUUAUAAAAACUGAACAGAAUUUCCUUUGAAAAUGUUGACAGAAGUCAUCUUCAAAGCAUAAUAGUGACACAAAGCGAACAUGUACAAAAUGGAAUAUGGCCCUUAUCAAGAUAUUCAAAACAAUGAACCCAUCUAUAAGUGUUCAGUAAGAAACCAUCAAAACCCCUCCUCCCAUGAACAAUUAAAAGGUUAUUGUUAGCUGUCUGAGUGCAGGUAACUUUGCAGGGAAACAUAGCAGGGAAUAAACUAAGGUUAUUCUUAUUAAUCUGUGAAUAACCUCCCCCAAAAUAAAACUAAGAGUGUACAUUUUUGAUAUAGACUAAGUGUCAUUACCACGGUAACUUUUCCUAAUAUGACUAUCAGCUGGAAAUAUCCACCCAUUAUUGGAUUCAAUUUUGCAAUUAUGCAAUAAUACUUCACCUUACAUGCAUUUCUCACAACUAUAAACAUGAUAAUUAAAGGCAGGAGUGGGCUAUACAGAACUGACAUCUGCUCAGCCAUUAAACAAGUUUAGAGCUGUGCUAAUUGUAAUUUAACCUGCACACUAAAGUCUAGCUGUAAUAGCCUAUCAAGCCUUAGUUUAUCGGUAAUCUAUCUUCCUCCUGUCAAGACCCCUCAAGAUAUUAUUUCUAUCAAGUUACUUCUCACUCAUAAGCAGAUACAAGCCUAGCAUGUUCAUCCUUUUCUCAUAAGGCAACUCACUGACUCCAAGUAUUCAUCAAAUAAACAUAACUUGAACUGCCUUCAAAGCAAUGGCAUUGGAGUUUAAAUAAAAAGAUCAAUAUUGUACAUGUGUGGCCUCAAAUACCAUACAUAAUGAAAUCUGAUCUUCCAACUUGUAUUCAAUUCCCCAAGCAAUAAACUAUGACAUUCUGUUAGCAUUUCUGGCUAUUCAGUGUGCUGCAUACUUGCCCUUUGUGAAUCAUGCAACAGGAUAUCCAGAUCCCUUGGGAUAUCUGGCUGUGCAAUCUCACCAUUGAGACAACAUGUUCUUUUUUAUUUAUCUUUUCUCUGCAUAUGGAUGAUAUCACAUUUUCCUACAAUAUAUUCAAUUGUCAGAUCCUCACCCACAUCCUUAACCUAUCUAUUUUCCUUUAUAGGUUUCUUAGGUUAUUUUCACAACAUUUUCGUACACAAUGUUAUGCCUUCAUCUAAGUUAGUGAGAAUACCUUUGACGUCUUCACCUAAGUAAUUUAUAAAGUCAUAGAGUAAAAGCCCUGUCCCACGGUACGAGUUCAUUCCAAGAGCUCUCCCGAGUUUAAAAAAAAAUCAAACUCGUGGUAAGCAUGGAGAAUGAACGUAGCGGGUACGUCGGAACUCUGGGACAUCUCUUAGCGCUAACGGCAGGUAACCGGGAAGACUCGCUAACGGCAGGUAAGCACGGGAAGAUUUUGCAACAAGAUGAAAAAUGUCCACGAGAGCCCCGAGUACCGACGAGUGGUCAUUACCGUAAAACGCCUGUCUCACGGUGCGUCGACCCUCGAGUGACCCCGAGUUUAAAAUAAAUUAAACUCAUGGUAAUCACGUACAAUUAACGUAGCGGGAACGUCAGAACUCAUGGACGCAACUUAGCGACUCGUGGCGCUAACCGCAGGUACCCAUGAAACUUGUAAUUUCAAACAUGUUUAAAGUUUUCCACGAGUCAAAUUUACUCUUGAAUUUAAAAAUUGAAACAUUUAAACUCGUUGUAAGAACAUAGUGGCCCGUGAGUUUACCGUAGUGACUCUUGAGUCUACCGUGAUAACUCAUGGGCACUCUGAACUCGGCAGCUGGACAAAGGAAAAAAAAAGGUGAGUAAAAAAAAAAAGGUGAUUUCCACAUCAGCACGUGACCUGGGUCAAUCGAGGUCAUUUCACCUCAUUGCUGGUGAAUCUUUUUGAGAAGAAGCUUGCUAGAGAUGGCUCCCAGAAAAGUGCAACGCAAGGGCAGAGCAGAGCCAUAGAAAAAACCUGCCUUGAAGGCUUUGAUCAUACAGGAGGAGGAGGAGAGGCAACAGGAGAUGCAACAGGAGGAGGCAACCUGGCUAUGGGCUCCCUGGAGCAGGGGAACAGGGAGUUUGAAAAUGUGCAGAUUGCCUCCCAGGUAGCUGUGUGUGAAACAGCCUCAGACGUGGAGGGAGGCAGGGAAGAUGGAAUAACGUGAAACCCUUUCACUUCAACAGGUAGCAAGAGGGAGACCUUGUAGAGUGGUAUCAGGCAAAUGAAAUCCUCUAUGAUAAAUGCAGAGAGGAUUAUCGUAAUAAGGAGAAGAAGCGUGCUUUGUUGGAGUAAAAGGCAACAGAGUAUCCCGGGUGCACAUGUGAGUACAUUAUGAUAUAUUAGGGCAUCAGCAGGUCAACCAUUUUCUUUUAUCCAUGAUUGCAAAAUUUACAGUCUAAUUUAUGUAAAAGUUCUAUAUUUUUCGUUAAAUAAAACUUCUGUAGUAAGUCUGUGCCCUGCAGAUGUAAAGUUAUAAGUUGCAGACAGUUCUAUAUUUUUGUGUAUUUAAAGGUUGAAUCCGGUCUCCAAAAGCCCAUAAAAUUAAAUAUGCGUGAGGUCAGGCAAUUAACACAUGUAAUGCUUGUCUUAAGGCUGUUUGUUUUGAACGUUGAAUCCUGUCUUCAGGAAAGACCACAUUAAAUAUGCAGAGGGCAGGCUAUUAAAACAGGGCUACCAUUUUACAGGCCUCAAUGGCUUUCAGGUACAUAUCUGUUUACUCUCUGCAACUUUUCAUCUCUUGGAAGACAUCCUAUGCUAGAAGUUCUACUUAAUCCCACCACUCUCCUUUAAUGCAGAUGAACGACUCCAGCAAUGGUUUACAAACCAGAGGACCAUCUACGGAAAAGUCACCGCACUUGGCUCAAAGACAGGGUCUGCUGGAGGCAAACUCACAGAGAGAAACAAGUUGAUUGAGGAGAAAGUGGCAUUUCUUAUCAAGCCAUAUUGUGCGUGUGGUGACCAGAACUAGCGCGAACAAGCAACAACAGAGCAGUGAGCAGGUGUUGGAUGAUCCUCUCGACGGGACCUCUACGCCGGGACCAUCCGCCAGCCAACAGCACUCCAGGAGGCAGAUGUCGCAGGAGAGCAACAUUGGCGGCACCACACCUGGAGAUGAUGAUGAAAGGAGAGGUUUACAAGAUAACAUAACUGUUCUCACUGACCUUGUAAGAGACGGGGUUCAUUUGUUGAAUGAUGCACGCAGGGAUAUGGCACCAAUAGCUGAGUGUGUGCAGAAAGUCUGUCAGUGUUGUCUCGCGGUGAUGAGCGAAGAUAUAACUGAGGAUGUGUGGGAAUUCACAUGGGCUUUCUUCAAUCAGGCAAUGAAGUUCCGAGAGUGAAAGGUUAAUAUGACAUCUUGAUUUUCUACACUUCUUUCAUCGUUUCUGUUAAAAAUCUUUAUUUCUCAUAUGAGACAUUCACAAUGAUUUAAUGUGUGUUGUUGUCUGCGCAGUUAAGGAGAGCACAUGCACCUGUGGCACCAUGUCCCAUGUAUGUACAGCCUCGUCCGUUUCACUUCUUUGAUCAGGUAUUAAUAAACAGAUGAACGCUUCCAUCAAUGGUGUUUUUUAAUGCAUUGAGCUUGACGAAUAUAUUAUUCUCAAAUUCAAAAGCAGUCAGCGAGCCAAAGGGAGGACAGUUUGCAAUGGGAGACCAGCCACAAUACCAGGCAGCACAGGUAUACAAUUAUCUUGUGUCGGAUUGAAGUUUUAAAAAUUGAGAUUCGCAACCGCAUAAAGACAUUAAAUUAAUCCACUUUCAUGAAUAAUGUUAAUGAGAUGCAAGAAAAGCACAUGAUUAGCCAAAAAGACAUGACAUUUUCAUAAAGUUAACAUUUAAUUCUUAUGCCCCUGUCCCACUUAGGAAACCUCUGGAGACUAUGCGCCCCACCCAAGGUUUCCGUGCGGUUCCCGGAGGAUGCAGGUGGUUGCCGGAGGUUGCAGGUAGUGGAAGCAGGUAGGGAGACUAACAAAAACCUCCUGGAACCUCCGGGAACCGCACAGAAACGUUGGGUGGGGCGCAAAGUCUCCAGAGGUUUCCGUUCAGGUUUCCUAAGUGGGACAGGGACAUUAAGUAACCCUAUUGCACCUUUUUAUGAUCUGUGAAAAAGCUU